CGAAAGCCUGACGGAGCAACGCCGCGUGGGGGAGGAAGGCUCUUGGGUUGUAAACCCCUUUUCUCAGGGAAGAAGCUCUGACGGUACCUGAGGAAUCAGCCUCGGCUAACUCCGUGCCAGCAGCCGCGGUAAUACGGAGGAGGCAAGCGUUAUCCGGAAUUAUUGGGCGUAAAGCGUCCGCAGGUGGCUAUUUAAGUCUGCUGUCAAAGACCGGGGCUCAACUCCGGGUCGGCAGUGGAAACUGGAUAGCUAGAGUACGGUAGGGGUAGAGGGAAUUCCCGGUGUAGCGGUGAAAUGCGUAGAGAUCGGGAAGAACACCGGUGGCGAAGGCGCUCUACUGGACCGUGACUGACACUCAGGGACGAAAGCUAGAGGAGCG
rnacentral:rRNA from 1 species